UACGGAGGGUGCAAGCGUUACUCGGAAUCACUGGGCGUAAAGGGCGCGUAGGCGGCCUAGCAAGUCUGGUGUGAAAGCCCAGGGCUCAACCCUGGAAGGGCACUGGAAACUGUUAGGCUUGAGUUCCGGAGAGGAGGGGGGAAUUCCCGGUGUAGCGGUGAAAUGCGUAGAUAUCGGGAGGAAUACCGGUGGCGAAGGCGCCCCUCUGGACGGAAACUGACGCUGAGGCGCGAAAGCUAGGGGAGCAAACGGG
rnacentral:rRNA from 1 species